GCUGCGAUGAGACCCGCGCGCCGGGAAUGCACCUUCCGGGCCGGGGGAGGGAGGGUGGGAGGAAAUCAGAGCGCAAAAUAUUAGUUUAAAGCUGAACCGGACGGUGUAAAAACGCCGAACUCUUGGUGGGGAUGGAAAAGGAAGAAUGCGGGAAAGGCAAGGAAAGAUCCCAGAGUUUAAAACGGAGAGGAGAACGGCUGGGGGACGCUACAAACAAGAGAGCCACAGUCGGGCUCAGGGUGAAGACAGACAGCGCAAUGCCUUGGGCCACAAGAGAAAAGCGAACUCCCAGACGGCAGAUGUUUGCUUGGGGCGGUCACCCUGGCCCCUCGACGCCCCUCCGGCCUAGAGAGGACCGCAACUGAACGCCAGUGAGGUCAAGGCGGUGUCCUGGGAGCCCAAUAUCGGCUUUGAAAAGUGCCAAGUGAGUCUGAACGUGAGCCUCGAGGCCUCGCCUCCAGGGAACGAGGUCCUCGGGUUAGUGGAAGGGGCGCACGCCGCCUGGAUGGCAUUCACAGGCCUGACAUCCCAAUAAGCUAGAACUUCGGCCGACACUAAAGGGUCAAAGGAGGAGUUGCAGGAAGAGGAUGGCGGACUUAGAAAAUUGGUAAUUUAAAAAAAGAAAGAAAAGAAAGAAAGAAAGAAAGAAAGAAAGAAAGAAAGAAAGAAAGAGAAAAGGAAGAAAGAAGAAAGAAAAGAAAAGAAAAG
rnacentral:lncRNA from 10 species